rnacentral:rRNA from 1 species
CCUACGGGGCGCAGCAGUAGGGAAUCUUCCACAAUGGGCACAAGCCUGAUGGAGCAACACCGCGUGAGUGAAGAAGGGUUUCGGCUCGUAAAGCUCUGUUGUUGGAGAAGAAUGUGCGCGAGAGUAACUGUUCACGCAGUGACGGUAUCCAACCAGAAAGUCACGGCUAACUACGUGCCAGCAGCCGCGGUAAUACGUAGGUGGCAAGCGUUAUCCGGAUUUAUUGGGCGUAAAGCGAGCGCAGGCGGUUGGUUAGGUCUGAUGUGGAAGGCCUCGGCUUAAACGGAGGAAAG